rnacentral:lncRNA from 1 species
UAAGGUUGAUAGGUAGUAUAUUAUGAACAACUUUUUGUAUAUACAUUUUCGUUGCUUAGGGAUGAAUUGGAUCGGGACUUGAUGGCUUGGAUGGACCACGAAGAAACUGCAACAAGAGUCCAUCAAAUUCUUGAGAAAUCCGUUCAUCUUGCAAAGGUCUACAAUCGACUCCAAGUUGAGAACAAACGACCAUAAUAAAAAAAAUGAUUACGGUAAUGGUAAA